UUGUGCUUGAUCUAACCAUGUGGUUCCAAGCUAUGAGUAAAACAUGGUUUCGUCAAGCACCAUG
rnacentral:pre_miRNA from 1 species